AUACUACUCCCUUCGUCCGGAAAUACUUGUCAUUAAAAUGAAUAAAAAAGGAUGUAUCUAGAUGUAUUUUAGUUAUAGAUACAUUUUUUUUUUCAUCUUGAUGAUAAGUAUUUUCAGAUGAAGGGAGUAUGUC
rfam:Triticum aestivum genome assembly, contig: Triticum_aestivum_CS42_TGACv1_scaffold_050820_1BS